AUUCAACGGCCGCGGUAUCCUAACCGUGCGAAGGUAGCGUAAUCACUUGUUCUUUAAUUGAGGACUAGUAUGAAUGGCACCACGAGAGUUGAACUGUCUCCCUUUUUUAAUCAGUGAAACUAAUCCCCCCGUGAAGAAGCGGGAAUUUUUAUGUAAGACGAGAAGACCCUAUGGAGCUUUAAACUGACCACCACCUGCUGCCCUAUAAAUCUCACAUAAAGCAAAGUAGGAUGUUAACAUGUUUUCGAUUGGGGUGAUCACGGAGCAAAAAAUAACCUCCACGAUAGACAGGCCUAAACCCUGAGCAACAAGCCACAACUUUCAGCACUAUAAAAUUAAUAUUUCUUGACCCAAUAAUUUGAUCAACGAACCAAGUUACCCUAGGGAUAACAGCGCAAUCUACUUCAAGAGCCCCUAUCGACAAGUAGGUUUACGACCUCGAUGUUGGAUUAGGGUGUCCUAGUGGUGCAGCCGCUACUAAGGGUUCGUUUGUUCAACGAUUAAAACCC
rnacentral:rRNA from 1 species